rnacentral:lncRNA from 1 species
CUAAAGUUGGGCUUUUGGGGAUCAGAAAAUCCCUUGAAAUUAAAUGGAAACAUUCAUCUGAAUGUGUCUGUAUAAAAUUCCCUGGAACAAAGACUCAUACCUUUCAUCAGAUAAUCAAAGAUCUUGAGAUCCAAAAAAACGUUAAAGAACAACUGGUCUAGAAGAGAAGAAAACCCAGCUCAGCUCCAACAAACAGCCCAUUGGCUCUGUAACCCUGGCCCCAAACUGGGUAGGAGGUUACCCACGUUCCCUCCUCUGGGGCUCUACCAUCAAUGUGUCUCCAUCUUUGGCUUUCUCUUCUAGCUCAUAAGCUACUCUCCUUAUAGCUUCACUUUGAAUUCCUAAUAAGGCACAUUUGAUCAGCCUCAUAAAUUCCCAUCAUUUCUGUUGGGGCAGAGUCUUCUUGCCAGGACAUCUCAAAGGUUUUUGGCUAUCAAUCGACUGCCUUUGUGGUCAAGCAAGCAUCAAAACAGCUCUAAUAAAUUGUGCCAGGUUGGAUGGGGGAGUGUCACUGGGAACAGAUCAUGGCUCCUGCUCUAUAAGCCCUUGUCUAAAAAUCCUGGUGGGAGAGCUGUAGAUGAGGGCAUUCCCUAAGAAAUUAAUUGUAGGUAUGACAGUCCCUGCCCUCAAGUAUAUGUAAUCCUAAAUUCAUCCAUAAAAAAAUAUCUGUGAAAAAGCACGGACACCAGAACAAAAUGUCUUUAUUACUACUACCAUAAACUCUUACUUGUCCCAAGUCAGGGAUCCAAAAACAAGACUUGCUACCUGUCUGCGCAGAGAUCACAUAAGAAUAGAAGUUAUAUUUUUUGGUAUAAAGAGCUGAAUUGAAAUGGCAGUGGGCUAGGGGCCAGAGGGCCAGAAUUCUGGUACCUCUUUUGCCACUUACUGGUUACAUAAACUUGGCUCUACUAUUUGAAUGCUCUGAACCAUAGUUUUCUUAUAUUAAAAUGGGGAUAACAAAACGCACUCUGCCUGGCUCUCUGGUUAUCAGAGGAACUAAAUAAGAUAAAAUAUGUGGAAAUGCUUUACUUUAAAUUGCCAAAGCAAACAGGGCUUUAAAAAAUUAUUGCCUUAGUUUUGGGUAUUAUUGGCAGAACCAAACCAUUCAUUACUGGCGCCAUGCUAGUUCCUAUCAUUAAACACAUUCUUUGUCCUCUCAAGGUCUUUGUGAAUAGGUUUAAAAGAAGUCUGAUCACGUUGGAAACAUGUGUAUUUUAGUGGUGUGCAUUUGGUUUCAAAGAACAUCUGAUAAAGGCUUUAAAAGUUUAAAAGAACAAACUGAAUAUUAAAAGCACCAGUUAAAAGUUAAUGAAGCAGGACCCAUCAGGAAAGAGAAGCUGUUUGCUGAGGGUGGGACAGUACUUCUGUCUUUUCCAGGAAGUUUCAAACUUUCAGAAUUUUGCUAGAAAUUUCCAAAGAGAUUGUUUGGACUCAUUGUAUUACAUUUCACAGAAGACUUUUCAAUGCUGGACACCCAAAUUUCCUGAGCAAUUAUGGUUUUGAAGAGUUUGUUUAUGCGGAGUAAAGUAUAACAAGAGUUCCUUUUCUGAUUUUUGUCUGGUUGAAUGAGGUCUUUGAAUUGGUCAUUCGCAUAGCAAAGUAGCAAGGGAUUUCUUUCAAGGCCUUUUGAUUGUCCACAUGUUCUUAGUACUGUCUUGAGGGCUUACAUUGUUUAUGUUCUCCAGUAUUACUAAACUUUCUGUCUCCAUUCUCUUCAGUGGGAGAGUAAGAUCCUUAGGGACAGGAACUGUGCUAUAUUCCUAAAAGUACUUAUAAUACUAAAGUGGAUAUCACAUUAAGAGAGCAUAAGCCUUGUCAAGGCAAAAUUGUGAACAGCAGUUAGUUAACUAUUUUUGCCCUUUCUGAGUUCUAGAAUCUUAUUGAUAGUAGUCAGCUAUGGUUUUCUGGAUCAGGUGUUUAUACAUAAUAGCACCUGAGAUGGUUCCUUAACUUUGGGUUUAAUGAAGCCAACAAAAGGAUCUCUGAAAAUGACCAGGUCUACCCACUGAUGUGAAGAUUGUAUGUAGUUUACUAAUCAUAUUUAGAAAUAAGGAACUAAAAAAUACCCAUACUUUAGUGAUAUUCACCACCAGUUACCCUUUACUAAGGACUGAUAGUCAUGACCAAGCCAGCAUGGGUAUUUAAGAACAUAGGCUCUGGAGUCAAGCAAACUUGAGUUUGAAUUUCAGCUCCAUCACUAAUUAGCUGUAACCUUGGUCAACCUACUUAAUUCCUUUAAGCCUCUGUAUUGCCAUCAGUAAAAUGGGGAUAGUAAUAGUACAUCCUUAUUGAGGGCCAUUAGGAAGAUUAAAUGAGGUGAUAUAUGCCAAAGUGCUAAGCAGGGUGCUUGGCAUAGAAGAUGUGACUAACGCCUAGUAGCCCUUACUGUUAGUCCAGGGGAUUUGUCUUUGAGCUGGUCCAGGCUAUAGCCCAUUAAUGUUCCCCUAAUUGUCCUUGUCUAAAGGGCUCUGUGCUUGGGCUUCUGUUCUUGCUUCUUGCUUUAUUAAUCACUGUUAUUCUUUUCUUUGUGUUGGAACCCUGGAAACGGCUGCGUAAUGGAAGUUCUCUCCCUACACUAAGUCAGAGUUGGACCUGUCUCAUCUACUGACUGCAUACAGGGUCAGCCAUGGGUCCAUAUUCCAUUGUGAUUGGAGCAGGAUUUAAAUCCCUAUAGACCAAAAGAAGUCACUUUCCACUGGAAAUGUAAACUGAAAACACACUCCCCAUCAACAUAGGGUCCGAGGUGUAUAGCACCAUUAAAUAGUCCGGCAGUAGAGAAUCUGGACAUUAUAGUUUAAUCUCUUCAUGCCCAAAGUCAUAUGGCAGAAAGCAACUUAACACCGGAUCCUGAAACCGUUCCACUAAAUAAAGCCUUUUAGUUUAAUAAUUAUUAGCAUUUCAUAGAGGCUGACUUCAUGUAUGGGCUUGAGGGAGCAGUAAAAUCUAGAAUGCUCUUUUAUUUAAGCAUUUUACUUUGGAGAUAGGCCUCUGUCUUAACUGACGUCUCUUGAGCUAACCCAGAGUGAGUGUGCUUUUUGAUUCUAAGGGUCAUUUACCUCAUAGGAAACCUUGUUACUUAUUGAGCUGGUGUGGCAUUGCUGUAAGCUGGAUGUCAGAAUCUCCCUGUGGGCGCUGAGGUUUAUGCCAGACCUGGUUCGUUUGCCCAGGAAAAAUGUUAAGAGAGAGGGGAUAUAAGUCAUUUCAAGUAAGCUUGUAGUGGGUUGAUACAACUCUGCUGCGGGAAAAACCUAAUCCCAGGAACAUGGUAUCUAACCCAAGACCUGUUGAAUUAGAGGAAAGGAGAGCUCUCUUUCUAUGAAUUUAUGCCUGUUCUUUGCUAAAGUUCCAGACUUCUCCCAGACUUUGAUCCGCUUUUUCUCUCAACACUGUUAGCAGACUCAGGCUUCUAGAUUCAGGUCAAGGAAUCAUAGUAAUAUCUUGCCCACUAGGUUAGUGUUACAAAUGUGUCAGCUAACCAGAACCCCCAGUAUGGAGGAAUUACGGCGGUCCCUGAGAAUUUUAAUAUAGUUUAAAGUGUAAAAAAUAUAUAUAUAAAUAAAGUGUAAUAAGGUUUGCAAUGCUGCCGGAUGGUUUCCAUUGUUCUCACUAAACUGAAAGUCCCUUGGGAGUAAGGACUGCUUUCUGUGUUUAUAUUGGCCACAUCUAGCCAAUGGCAGACCCACUCUAUACAUGUUUGUUGGAUUGACAGAUGGAUGAAACUACUGUAAUAUGCUAAUUAAGUUACUGUAGUUUACAUUUGAUGAAAGAAGCAGCAUGGAAAGGAAUAAAAUGACUCUCCAUAAGGACAGUAAGUUCCAACAAAGCAACAUGGAAGUAUUCAGGGAAGAUGAGGAGAAGGCAGUGAAGCCAACAAGAAUAAGUCUGAUAAAACAGAAAGUCACAACUGAAGAUAGACAAUGUUCCCUUCUAAACAAAAAGUGAUGCCUAUUUUUCACAUUAAAGAAAUUCUAUAACAUGACUGAGAUUCCUUUCUUGAGUCAAAAUGUUUUUGUCUUUGUUUCUUUACUGUAUUUUGAGCAUAUUUUUUAAUAUUUUCAUGGAGGAGAAGGGUGAGAAAGAUAUUCUUUCUAGAGAAUUUUUAUGAACAAACAAAAAUUUUAGUGAACAAACAAGAAUCUUUUCCCAAAACAGAUUCCUCUAGAAGAAAAUAUGCAAAGGAAGGUUUGAGGUGAAUUUAGUCCUUGAGUCCCACAAGUUCUACUGUUCUUGUAAAUAUUUUACUGCACUCUAAUAAAAUCUCUCUGUUUUCUUAGAAUGAAAGAUAGCAUAUGUUUCCUCUUUGCUUUCAGCAGCCUCUCUAAGGCCAUAAGAGGCAUUAAACCUCAAUACAUUGAGAGUGGCUACUGAAGAUUUCGUUUCAAAACCAUCAAUUACUCUCAGCCCCACCUUAGAAGUAUUAGGUGAAAGCCAUCCUGUAAAGUUAUGAUUAAAGAUUGAAAAUGCUGACCAGGGAGCUCAUAGCCCUCUUUAAGAUGCUCCCAGUAGUUUGCUCAAUUUCAAAAGGCUAUUGGAAGAAUGUAAUUAAAGUCAACAAGAAGAAAAAAAUCCUCUAAGAAUUUUAGUGUGGGAGAAGAGUAUCAACCAGAAGUAAUUUAGAUUAGAAACUUGUCCCCACAGCUUUCCUGUCAAUGAAAACUGCUACAACGUAAGAUUGAAGGACCUCCAGAGUUUCUGCAUCAAACCUUUUGGAUAUGGACUUAGGCACUUUCAUUCUACUGUGUGGAAGAGCCAAGAGGCUCUUGCCCAUAUGGGGGUUAUUUCUGUUAUGAGGGAUUAGAGAGUAAGGGCCCAAGAACCUGCCUAAGAACUUUGGAAAAUUUGCUGCAACUUAAUAAGGUUGAUGUGGUUUCCAUUUCUGCCACCCUGAAUAAGGAGUUUGUGAUUUUCAGCACAUUAGAUCUGUAAUUUAACACAUAAGUGUGUAAGAAGCCCUACUGUGUGCUAGGAGAGGCCCUACAGGCUGCCAGGCACCAUGAUGGAUGGCAUGGGGACACAAAGACUGGCCUUGUGUUCCAGAUGCUUGCAGUCUAAUGAAAGGAGGAAGACAAGUACAUAGGAAAGUGACUGAGAUGAAUGUAAGUUGCGUAGAGAGUGGCAAGUAAAGUGAGAUAAAGAGAUGUUCCUGUUUGUGUGGAAAGUGACUGCCUGCUUGGUACAUCUAAGGAGAUGCAGUUUAGGUAAGGAUGUGCCAUCCUGGAUUGUAAGGUCAAGCAGAGAGUCAGCAUGAAGGCACUAAAGAGAAAAUGGCUUCCCUUUAGUUUCACCUCCUUUUCCUCAGUGGCACCUUCUAGUGGGAGUGGCAAAACACCAAGAAAGCCUAAAUAAUUGACUCCUAAGAUGUGCAUUUGCUGAAAAAAAUGAUGGUGAACUUUUAUCUGCUUAAGUAGACAUAUGACACAUCCCCACUGCAAUGCAGGAGAGGAGAAAAACCAAUGUAAACCUCUUGACUUUAUACCUAGGUGUUUAUAGUAAGGAAAAACUUGUCAACAUGAUUUUUAAAAGGUUUAAUCCUCUAAUGGCAACAGCAUCAAAAACAACCUGGAAUAGAGGCAGGAUUAAGCUGGUGGAAUAGAAGGACUGGAGCUCAACUUCUCUCAUAAAAACAACAAAAUUACAACCAAAUGCUGAACAACCUUCAACCAAAUGGAUGCAAAACUUUCAAAAAGAUCCUACUCCAGGAGACAAAGAAGAGGCCACCUCAAGAGGCAGAAGGGGUGAUUACAUGAUAUAAGCAACCCCAUACCUCCUGGGUGGGAAGCCCAUAGACUGGAAAGUAACUGUACAACAGAGACUCGCCUACAGGAGUGAGAGUUCUGUGCCCCAUGUCAAAUCCCUACAUCUGGAGAUCUGGCAAUGGGAGAAAGAGCCCCUGGAGCAUCUGGCAUUGAAGGCCAGUGGGGCUUGUGUGCAGGAGCUCCAUGGACUGGGGGAAACAGAGACCCCAUUCUUGAAAGGCGCACACAGACUUUCAUUUGCAUGGGGCCCCAGGGCAAAGCAAAGCCUCCAUAGGAAUUUGGGUCGGACCUGACUUCAGUUCUUGGAGGAUCUCCUGGGAAAACAGGGGGUGACUGUGGCUUAUUGUGGGGAGGGACAUUGGAGAAAAAAACUCUCAGGAAUAUUCAUCAGCUUACAUUUCUCUGGAGGUGGCCAUUUUGGGAAAAUCUGGCCCCAACAAUCAGUGCUGAGAAGCCCCAGGCCAAACAAUAAUCCAGGUGGGAUCACAGCCCCACCGAUCAGUAAGUGGGCUGUCUAAAGACUCCCUAGGCACACAGCUGCCUCUUAUCUCACCCAGAGACAAAGCCCCACCUACUAGUGAGGGCAGGCACCAGUCCCUCCCAUCAGGAAGCCUACAGUAAUCCACUGUACCAAUCUCAGGCACAAGGUGGGGAAGACACCAGAAGUAAGAGAGAAGCUACAACUCUUUUGUCUGCAAAAAGGACACCACACCAAAAACCUAUCAAAAUGAAAAGACAGAGAACUGUAACUGAGAUAAGGGAGAAAGAAAAAAAAAAAAAACAGAAAAACAGCUAAAUGAUCUGGAGAUUAUCAGCUUCCAGGAAAAAGACUUUAGACUGUUGAUGCUGAAGAUGAUGCAAGACAUUGGGAAUAAACUGGAGGCAAAGACUGAUAAUUUACAGCAAACACUGAGCAAAGAAAUACAAUAUUUAAAACUGAAGCAAGCAGAGAUGCAAAAUACAAUAACUGAAAGAAUUCAUUAGAAGCAACCAACAGCAGAAUAUGGGAGGCAGAAGAAUAGAUAAGCAAGGUGGAGGACAAACUAGUGGAAAUCACUGAUGUGGAACAGAACAGAGAAAAAAGACUGAAACAAAAUGAAGAGACUCUCAGAAACUCUGGGAUAAUGUUAAACACAGCAACAUCCAUACUACAGAGGGGCCAGAAAGAGGAGAGAGAGAGAAAGGGACAGAAAAAAUAUUCAAAGAGAUAGUAGCUGAAAACUUCCCUAACACAGGAAUGGAACCACCUGAUCAAAUCCAGGAAGCACAAUGAGUACCAUAUAAAAUAAACCCAGGGAGGAAUACCCCAAGACACAUAUUAAUCAAACUGACCAAAAUUAAAGACAAAGAGAAAAUAUUGAAAGCAGCUAGGGAAAAGAAACAAAUAACAUACAAGGGAACCCCAAUAAGGUAAUCAGCAGAUUUUUGAGCAGAAACUCUGCAGGCCCGCAGGGAGUGGCAUGAUAUACUUAAAGGGAUGAAAGGAAAAAAAAAACAUCCAACCAACAUUACUUUACCCAGCAAGGCACUCAUUCAGAUUUGAAGGAGUACUCAAAAGCUUUAUAAGCUUUUUUUUUUAUAGAUACACAAAAACUAAAAGAAUUCAGCAACACUAAAUCAGCUUUACAACAAAUACUAAAGGAACUUAUCCAGGCAGAAAAGAAAAGGCCACAACUAGAAACAAAAACACUGCAAAUGACAAGGCUCACCAGUAUAGGCAUAUAUACAGUAAAGAUAGGAAAUCAUCCAUGCACAAUUAUGCUACCAAAACCAGAACUCAUGAGAAGAGGAGGGUACAAAUACAAGACACUGGAGAUGCACUUGCAAUUAAGAUACCCACAACUUAAAACAAUCACACACACACACACACACACACACACACACACACACACACACACACACACACACAUGCACCCCUAUAUCAAAACUUCAAAUAACUGCAAACCAAAAAUCUAAAAUUGAUACACAAACAAAUAAGAAAAAUCAACUCAAAUAGAACACUAAAAAUAGUCAUCAAACCACAAAAGGAGAGCA